UAAGCAUAUCAAUAAGCGGAGGAAAAGAAACUAACAAGGAUUCCCCUAGUAACUGCGAGUGAAGCGGGAAGAGCUCAAAUUUAAAAUCUGGCGUGCCUCUGGUCGUCCGAGUUGUAGUCUGGAGAAGCGUUUUCCGUGUUGGACCGUGUAUAAGUCUCUUGGAACAGGGCGUCAUAGAGGGUGAGAAUCCCGUCUUUGACACGGACUACCAAUGCUUUGUGAUGCGCUCUCAAAGAGUCGAGUUGUUUGGGAAUGCAGCUCAAAAUGGGUGGUAAAUUCCAUCUAAAGCUAAAUAUAGGCGAGAGACCGAUAGCGAACAAGUACCGUGAGGGAAAGAUGAAAAGCACUUUGGAAAGAGAGUUAAACAGUACGUGAAAUUGCUGAAAGGGAAACGCUUGAAGUCAGUCAUGUCUGCCAGGACUCAGCCUUGCUUCUGCUUGGUGCACUUUCUGGUUUGAUGGGCCAACAUCAAUUCUGACCGUUGGAGAAAGGCAUUGGGAAUGUGGCACCUUUGGGUGUGUUAUAGCCCUUUGUUGUAUACAACGGUUGGGAUUGAGGACUGCAGCAUGCCUUCAUGGCCGGGGUUCGCCCACGUAC
rnacentral:rRNA from 1 species